GAUGAACGCUAGCGACAGGCCUAACACAUGCAAGUCGAGGGGCAGCACAUGAGUAGCAAUACGAUGGUGGCGACCGGCGCACGGGUGAGUAACGCGUAUGCAACCUACCCAGUAGAGGGGAAUAACUCUCGGAAACGGGAACUAAUACCGCAUAAUACUAUUAAGCUGCAUGGUUUUAUAGUUAAAGAUUUAUUUGUAAUGGAUGGGCAUGCGUGACAUUAGUUAGUUGGUAGGGUAACGGCCUACCAAGACUACGAUGUCUAGGGGUUCUGAGAGGAAGGUCCCCCACACUGGUACUGAGACACGGACCAGACUCCUACGGGAGGCAGCAGUGAGGAAUAUUGGUCAAUGGGCGAGAGCCUGAACCAGCCAAGUCGCGUGCAGGAUGACUGCCUUAUGGGUUGUAAACUGCUUUUAUAAAGGAAUAACAACAGAAACUAGUUUCUGGAUGAAUGUACUUUAGGAAUAAGGAUCGGCUAACUCCGUGCCAGCAGCCGCCGUAAAAC
rnacentral:rRNA from 1 species